rnacentral:rRNA from 1 species
CCUACGGGUGGCUGCAGUGGGGAAUAUUGCACAAUGGGGGAAACCCUGAUGCAGCGACGCCGCGUGAGUGAAGAAGUAUUUCGGUAUGUAAAGCUCUAUCAGCAGGGCAGAAAAUGACGGUACCUGAUUACGAAGGCCCGGCUAACUACGUGCCCGCAGCCGCGGUAAUCCGUAGGGGGCAAGCGUGAUCCGGAUUUACUUGGUGGAACGGGAGCGUAGACGGCAGCACAAGGCUGGAGUGAAAUGCCGGGGCUUAACCCCGGAACUGCUUUGGAAAGUGUGCAGCUAGAGUGCAGGAGAGGUAAGUGGAAUGCCUAGUGUAGCGGUGAAAUGCGUAGAUAUUAGGAGGAACACCAGUGGCGAAGGCGGCUUACUGGACUGUAACUGACGUUGAGGCUCGAAAGCGUGGGGAGCAAACAGGAUUAGAUACCCCAGUAGUC